AUUUUAGGCCAGUUUGGGUGAUUUUAGGCCAGACUGGGCAGAAUUAGGAUGGAUUUUAGACUCCUUUGGAUCAUUAUAGACCAAUUUGGCUGAUUUUAGUCCAAACUGGGCAGGUUUAGGCUGGGUUUUCGAGCCUUUUAGUGUGGAUUUUAGGCCCCUUUGGCUGAUUUUAGGGCAAAUCUGGUAAAGUUUAGUCACAUUUGGGUGAUUUUAGGAUAAGCUGGGCAGUGUUAGGGUGGAUUUUAGAUCCCUCUGGAGGAUUUUAGGUUUAUAUGGGUGGGAUUUCAACAUGUUUGUGAAUUUAGGGCAAAUCUGGGUGUUAAGGUGGACUUUGGAUCCCUUUGGGUGAUUUUAGGUAAACCUAGGUACUUUCAUGGUGGAUUUUAUGCCCAUUUGGGAGAUUUAAGUGUGCUUUGAAGCAAUUUUCUCAGGAUUUUAAACCACAUUGUGCAGUUUUAGAGCCCUUUGGUUGGAUUUUAUAACCCUUUGGAUGAUCUUAACAGCAUUUGGCUGACCUUAGGCCAAAUUUGUGGAUUUAGGGUGGAUUUUAGGGCCCUUUGUGUGAUUUUAAGCCACUUUGUGGGGAUUCAAGUCUCCUUUGGGUAAAUUGAGGCCAAACCUGAUUAGGUUUAGGGUGGAUUUUAGACCCCUUUAGAGAAUUUUAUUCCCAUUUGGGUGAUUUUAGACAAAACCUGGCCCUUAUAGGACUGUGUGUCCCCUUGGCCACGCCCAUUCUCCCUCAUGAUUCCCGGCCUUUCCUUGACCCCGCCCCUUUCCCCUCACAGUUCCCGCCCUUUCCCUGACCCCGCCCCCACAGUUCGGGGCUGGGAACGGGGGAGGAGGAGGAGGGAGGGAGGAAGAGGCAGAGCGGCAGCAGGGAGCAGGAGGAGAAGGGCAGAGGAGGCAGAGGCGGCUCCAGCGCUCCCUGAACUCGCAGCCCCCCGGACCGCCCCCAUCCCGCAGGUGCCCCGUUGGAGGGCAAGGACAGCGGGUUUGGGGAGCCCCGGGAGAGCUGCGGCUUCCCUGAGCGGGACCCCAGAGAGAGGAGAGCCCCAGAAUUGCAAAGCGGGGACCCCAAGAGGGGGCACCCCUGGGAUUGCCGGGACCCCAGCGGGGGGUGCUGGGGCUGGAUGGGCGGGAUGAGUGGGAAAGGGGUUCGGGGGUGCCAGUGCUGGAAGUGGCUGCUCCCAGUAUGAGCCCAGUAACUCCCUCCAUGUGGUCCCAUUUUUCUUGGCACUCCCAGUAUGUGGCCAGUUACUGCCAGCAUUCCCAAAUGGGGAGACAGAAGAGGGGCGAGCUUUUCCGGUUCCUGGGACUCCCAGCAGCCUGAGGAUGGUGGGGACCCCCAAUAGAAGCAUGACCCCCCGCAGCUGUGACUGGGGGAAACCCCAAAGUCUCCCUAAUGGGAGAGACCAGAGAAUGGGAACUCCUGGGAGGCUUUUUCGGUGCCAAAUCUUGGUGUUUGGGAGCUUUUUAUGGACCCCAGAUGCCUGGUGACUUCUAGAGAUGGACUUGGGCAGAGGGAAUUUCAAAUUCAAUCUGCUCAUCCCUUGUUUUACUACAAACUAGAAUUUUCCAUUCCCAGCCUUGGCUGGAUGGAGGAGGAGGCUGGGAGGAAGAUGACCCAGGGCACUCGAGGCAGCCAUGACCCCCUCGCAUUGCAUGUGGUGCUUCUGUGUGAAGACGACAGCCAUUCCGCCAGAGAGUGAAGGGAGACAGAACAGCCCAUCAGGGUGUAUAAAAAUACAUGCAGUGUGAGAGGCGGAGAAGCUGGAAAAGCUGAAAAACGAGAAGCUGGAAAAAUCUGUAAAACAAGUCAGCGUGAGAGCUGGAAGAACAAAAGCAAAAAGCUGAAAAAAUAGAAAAAAAACCAUCGGAAACAUGGCAAGAUGGAUAUCACUGGAAGACAACCUCCUUGUCCAGGUAUUGAUUCUCCUGUCACCUAAAUGGGGAGUACAGUACAUGCAGCCGGUGUUGCUAACGCUGCUAGCGUGGUCUGGUAACCAUGGAGUAAACCUUAUAAAGCCCUGGAAAAUUGUUUUGGACUUGCUGAGGUGGUUGGAAGCCAAGCAGGACGCAGAGAUGGCAGCAAAAAUGCCACAGACAUCGCCCACUUUUUUGGCCUGCCAAGGACGCUGAGCGGGGCAGAGCAGCAGGUGAAAAACCGAGGGGAAAGCAGCCAUUAUUUACUAGAGUUCCCCCGCUGCCGCCCGCACUGAGUCCAUCCUCAGCAUGGUCGGGUCCGCCCACACCCCCGCUACAGAAACCAUCUUUAGGCUCUGCACCCUGUAAAGCGGCACGGAGAGAGCCCGCCGAAAACCCCCAAGGUGGCGGAGAGCACGCGGAACGAGGGGCACUCACCCAAGAUGGUGCUGGCCACAGGGCGCGGGAUGUUCCUGCUCGAGAUGGCGGAACGCGCGCUCCACAGGCCGGAGGAGAAGCGGCUGCCCCGCCGCCGGAGCUGACCCAGCGCUGCCCGAGCCGUGCAUAGAGCUGCCAGCGCUGCCCGAGCCGUGCGUAGAGCUGCCAGCACCGGGGACACGAGCUACCAUGUACCGCCGCAUCCUCAGUCAGCACUCGAGAAACCUGAGAAACACCGAGGCAGCCGGCGCAGCAGUCGGCACCCAGAGAAUGGGAGACCCGGCUGGCGCCCGGGGCCGCGGGACAUCACAGCUGUGAGCAGCCCCAGACGUCAACAGAACGGAGCGGAGCCGCCCGCCACCGCCGACAAACCGCACUGCCUGGUAACCACAGCAGCAACGGUAUCGACCCCUUUGUGCAGCCAGAGAGAGCCUGUAAGUCUGCCUGGGCUGGGCAGGGAGAACCAAAGGACAGCCCUUGGUCCCCCGAUCCGUAUAACCCUGGAGGGGACCCUGACAAUAUCCCAAAAAAGCUGUUGCUGCCCCGCACCCUGUGGCCUCAGUCAGAGCCGAGUGGCGGCGGGUGGCUGGGGACAGGGAGACCCUUCCUAGCAGCAUGGCCCCUCUCAGCCCGCCCUCUGCGAAAGCGGACCAGCAGCGACAGAGACUGCAAGAGAGGGGAGUGUGUGAAGCCUCAGGCAACCACAAAGCAAAACAGAAGCGGCACCGCAUUCCCUGCCUCCCCCUCAGCAAAAUCACCCAGUAAAGCGUGGCCAACUCUUGUAAGCUGAGAAAGCCCUACAAGUCACUCCACUGCUCCUACAACAGCCCAACCUGCCGUCUGCUGCGGGCCCUCUUAAGCUGAUACUGUACUAGAAAAAAAAAAACCUACAUGUGAUAUGGAGGAUGUUUAUGAAUAUACAAAUACAAGAUUUUAGAAGCAGCUUUUGGUGAUUUUGUAGUAGAGAAACAGCUUGUACUGAGAACACAUAGAAGAUUAGCCAUUAAGCUUGGUUGUUAGGUAGUUACUAAGUAGAAGUCAUACAGGUAAGAUGUAUGUUGAAACUCAGCAAAGCAGGACCUAGGUAUUUGUCAAAAAUCGAUAAAGCACAACUUUGUGGCUUGAACCCAGCAAAAUCAAGCUCUUAAUCUUUGGCAAGAGCAAAGUGACCUGAAAAAUACCCAAACCUCCACUGUGCCUGCCCAGAAGCGAAGAUCAGCCUGAGGAAGAUGAUGGCCUUCCUCCCAAGACCCCAACUCACACUGCCAGGAGGUGUGACAGCUAAUUAGAACACGAAGCGAGAGAAGGCGGGGAAUGGGCGGGUGGGGAGGUGUGGGUUUGUGGGAUCCAUGUGCAUUUAAACCUGGACCUUGUUCUGACCAGGUACGCACGGUUUGGAGGAGAUAUCCCCCUGUGUGUCCCAGCUGGAAAUAAAACAUACUGCUUUACAAUUUCUACCUGUAAAGUCCUUAUUCUGCGCUUCACACGGUAAUCCCCAUCUUGAGGGCCCCGAGCAGCGCCGCCCCCACAGCGGGAGCGGAGAGCAGAGCACGGGCAGGCGGCCGCGGGGAGCGGCGGGCGCCCCUCCCAGCCCCGCCGGCCACAGCCACUGCCCGCGGCAGUGCGGAUGAUCAACACACAGAAAAACCCAGAGAGGACUAACCACAGAAUUGUGUUUUCAAUCAUCGGACACAACAAAUAGCUACCAUUAAAACAAGUAUCCAUUCUAAUACUGUUUUUAAAUACUCCCGACAGUUUAAUCCUAACAAUAGUAAACUCUUUUCUUUCCAGGGGCAUAUUGAAGUUACAAUAAAAUGCUAUGUGAUAUUUAAAA